rnacentral:rRNA from 1 species
CAAUAGCGUAUAUUAAAUUUGUUGCAGUUGAAAAGCUCGUAGUUGGAUUUUGGGGCGUCGUACGAUCGGUCGCCACACAAUUACGGCCCGUUCGCGGGUCUGUGUGGAUUUGAACCGAACUCGUGCCGUCCUUUUCCUUCCGUAGACAGCGUCUGUUCUUCAUUGAAUGGGCGUGAUAAAGCUUCGGCUUUGGAUGCGGAUCGUUUACUUUGAAUAAAUUAGAGUGUUUAAAGCAGGCAUUACUAAACCCAUUUUGGGGCUUGAAUACAUUAGCAUGGAAUAAUAGAAUAGGACUUGGGCUUCUAUUUUGUUGGUUUCUAGAACCGAAGUAAUGAUUAAUAGGGAUAGUUGGGGGCAUUAAUAUUUAAUAGCUAGAGGUGAAAUUCUUGGAUUUAUUAAAGAUUAACUUCUGCGAAAGCAUUUGCCAAGGAUGUUUUCAUUAA